AUAAAAUACUGAAUGCCACUGAAGAAUUGCACAUGUGUGUCUCAGACAGCAACAGGAAUUGUAUUAAUAGCAGAUCAGUAGAUUGAUGUUAUAAAUUAAAACAUUAUGAACUUUUUACAGUAGGGCAUUGGUAAGCCGUUUAGAAGAAGAGUGGACUGCAGGACAGUGAAGCGAACUACAGUUUUGUACAACUUACCAUUGAGAUCAUGUGAAUGGACAGCAGUCCUCUCAUGGAGCCCCUGUUGACUUGAGUGGGAUUCCAGGUGAACUCUACAGUCUGCUGUCAGUUACAGGAUCAAGGCCUACCUCUAUACCAAAAGCUAUUUUGCAUGACUCCCACUGCUGACACUUCAGGUAUUACAAUAAAAAAGCCAGAGAGGGCUGAUGGCCCAAUAGCAAAGACAGUGGACUGUGAAAAGACUUGGCCUUUCCAUACUGCUACCAACUCAUGGAUGUUGGGAUACUACAGAAUCAGGUGACCUGGUCACUUGAUACUAACCAUCUCCUGUACUUUUCAGCUGAGACGUGUGGAAUCAAACAAAGGAUUCUCACCUUAUGGAAAUUCUGUAUAAGGCAGAGGAGGAAAACAAUGAUUGUCUUCAGCUUCACCUCUGCUUUCCCACCCCAAAAAGACACUUGAAAACACCUGUAAACAAAAGGACUGUAACUAAAUAUGAGGGAGAACUGC